rnacentral:rRNA from 1 species
AUGGGAGCACCCAAUCCAUCUCCCACCCCGCCGCAUGCCGCCUUCGCUGCCACGCUGCCGCGCGCCGUCAACCCCAUCGGCGCUCCUCCCCCUAUCCCAAGUGCCCCCACCCCCGCGGCCUUCCACCGCCGACGACACUCUAUGUUGCAGCCGUUGUCGGCUCCCCCCGUCCCUGCUACCAUGGCGCCAUCGGGACUCCUCCCCACUGCUUCCACCUCGGCAAUGGUUCCCCCAACCCCGCCGGCUUCGCCAUCUCGGCGCGCUCCACCACCCGUUGGACCCUUCCGCCCUGGCUCCCCCACCCGCAUCUCAUCUCCAACCCAGCGCCCACUCAAAUGCGGCGGCCGCCGCCGCUCAACAGCAGGGCCUGCUGAAUACGUGCUCUCGUCGCCGCCUCCUCAGCCUAACAAAGCCACACCAAGGACUCUUCCUCGGAGCCUCUUCCUGCUCAUGGUUCAUCGGCCCCGCGCCUCCCUUGCGAUGGCGACACGGCUGAGGGCGCAGUCAGCAAGGGUGUCGUCUAGGGGUGGCGGGGAAGUUGCUGGCGGGUGA